rnacentral:rRNA from 1 species
AACGAACGCUGGCGGCAGGCCUAACACAUGCAAGUCGAACGCCCCAGCAAUGGGGAGUGGCGCACGGGUGCGUAACGCGUGGGAAUAUGCCCUUAGGUACGGGACAACGUCGGGAAACUGACGCUAAUACCGUAUAAUGACUCCGGUCCAAAGAUUUAUCGCCUAAGGAUUAGCCCGCGUCUGGUUAGCUAGUUGGUGGGGUAAUGGCUCACCAAGGCGACGAUCAGUAGCUGGUCUGAGAGGAUGAUCAGCCACACUGGAACGGAGACACGGUCCAGACUCCUACGGGAGGCAGCAGUGAGGAAUAUUGGAAAAUGGGCGCAAGCCUGAUCCAGCCAUGCCGCGUGAGUGAUGAAGGCCUUCGGGUUGUAAAGCUCUUUUAGAUGUGAAGAUAAUGACGGUAGCAUCAGAAAAAGCCCCGGCUAAAUUCGUGCCAGCCGCCGCCGUAA